AAAAAAGGUAAGCUACUAAGAGCGAAUGGUGGAUGCCUUGACUGGUAAAGGCGAUGAAGGACGUACUAGACUGCGAUAAGCUACGGGGAGCUGUCAAGAAGCUUUGAUCCGUAGAUUUCCGAAUGGGGCAACCCAAUGUAUAGAGAUAUACAUUACCUAUAUAGGAGCGAACGAGGGGAAUUGAAACAUCUUAGUACCCUCAGGAAAAGAAAUCAAUAGAGAUUGUGUCAGUAGCGGCGAGCGAAAGCGCAAGAGGGCAAACCCAGUGCUUGCAC
rnacentral:rRNA from 1 species